AUUGAACGCUGGCGGAAUGCUUUACACAUGCAAGUCGAACGGCAGCACGGGGGCAACCCUGGUGGCGAGUGGCGAACGGGUGAGUAAUAUAUCGGAACGUGCCCAGUCGUGGGGGAUAACGUAGCGAAAGUUACGCUAAUACCGCAUACGAUCUACGGAUGAAAGCGGGGGAUCGCAAGACCUCGCGCGAUUGGAGCGGCCGAUAUCAGAUUAGGUAGUUGGUGGGGUAAAGGCUCACCAAGCCAACGAUCUGUAGCUGGUCUGGGAGGACGACCAGCCACACUGGGACUGAGAAACGGCCCAGACUCCUACGGGAGGCAGCAGUGGGGAAUUUUGGACAAUGGGCGCAAGCCUGAUCCAGCCAUUCCGCGUGCAGGACGAAGGCCUUCGGGUUGUAAACUGCUUUUGUACGGAACGAAAAAGCCUUGGCUAAUACCCAGGGUCCAUGACGGUACCGUAAGAAUAAGCACCGGCUAACUACGUGCCAGCCGCCGCAGUAA
rnacentral:rRNA from 1 species